rnacentral:rRNA from 1 species
AGCGAACGCUGGCGGCAGGCUUAACACAUGCAAGUCGAGCGGGCCCUUCGGGGUCAGCGGCAGACGGGGGUGUAACGCGUGGGAACGUGCCCUUCGGUUCGGGAUAACACAGGGAAACUUGGGCUAAUACCGGAUACCCUCUUAUGGGGCAAGGCUUGCUGCCCAAGGAUCGGCCCGAGUCUUAUUAGCUAGUUGGUGAGGUUAUGGCCCACCAAGGCGACGCUAGUUAGCUGGGCUGAGAGGAUGAUCAGCCACACUGGGACUGAGACACGGCCCAGACUCCUACGGGAGGCAGCAGUGGGGAAUAUUGGACAAUGGGGGCAACCCUGAUCCAGCCAUGCCGCGUGAGUGAUGAUGGCCUUAGGGUUGUAAAGCUCUUUUCUCCGGGACGAUAAUGACGGUACCGGAGGAAUAAGCCCCGGCUAACUUCGUG